rnacentral:rRNA from 1 species
UACGUAGGGUGCAAGCGUUGUCCGGAAUUAUUGGGCGUAAAGAGCUCGUAGGCGGUCUGUCGCGUCGGCUGUGAAAACUCGGGGCUCAACUCCGAGCCUGCAGUCGAUACGGGCAGACUAGAGGGCGGUAGGGGAGACGGGAAUUCCUGGUGUAGCGGUGAAAUGCGCAGAUAUCAGGAGGAACACCGGUGGCGAAGGCGGGUCUCUGGGCAGUAACUGACGCUGAGGAGCGAAAGCGUGGGGAGCGAACAGG